AUGGACAUAUGGGAACUUGACUACGGACAUGAUUUUAAGGUCCCUUUGUUUAAGUGCAAAUGGGUCAACCUGUCAGGAGGCGGGGUACAGGUAGACCCACAGUACGGAAUGACAACAGUGGAUCUGAACAAUCUUGGGUACACUAACGAACCGUUCGUCCUAGCCAAUGAUGUGGCAAAGGUUAUCUAUGUGAAGGACAUGUCUACCAAACCGAGAAAAAGAAAAGAUAAGGAAGCGAAUACAUCAUAUGAUGAGCCAAAGCGCCACAUAGUUCUUUCAGGAAAAAGGGACAUAGUGGGAGUGGAGGGCAAGACAGACAUGUCUGAAGAUUAUGAAAAGUUCCAUGAAAUUCCUCCCUUCAAAGUCAAGGCUGACCCAAGCAUCCUGAUAAACGAUGAAGAUUAUCCAUGGUUACGGCGCAAUAAGCAAAGCACACAAGCGAAAAAAAGUGAAGACAUUCUCUCCACAACUAUUAUGAUGAUACCAUGCCAACUUUCAACCUUUUCGUAG
rnacentral:rRNA from 1 species